rnacentral:rRNA from 1 species
CCUACGGGAGACUGCAGUGGGGAAUAUUGCACAAUGGGGGGAACCCUGAUGCAGCGACGCCGCGUGGGUGAAGGAGUAUUUCGGUAUGUAAAGCCCUAUCAGCAGGGAAGAACAAUGACGGUACCUGACUAAGAAGCACCGGCUAAAUACGUGCCAGCAGCCGCGGUAAUACGUAUGGUGCAAGCGUUAUCCGGAUUUACUGGGUGUAAAGGGAGCGCAGGCGGCGCGUUAAGCCUGGUGUGAAAGUCCGCGGCCCAACCGCGGGACUGCAUUGGGAACUGGCGCGCUGGAGUGCCGGAGGGGUAGGCGGAAUUCCUAGUGUAGCGGUGAAAUGCGUAGAUAUUAGGAGGAACACCAGUGGCGAAGGCGGCCUACUGGACGGUGACUGACGCUGAGGCUCGAAAGCGUGGGGAGCAAACAGGAUUAGAUACCCCAGUAGUC